rnacentral:lncRNA from 1 species
CAUAUCCAACAUCAACAUAACAUGUCAUUAUAAGAAAUUUUGAAACAUGACGAAAGACACAACAUUCUAAAUUCCCCAGUCUUACACAUCAGAGCAGACACCGCCAUUAAAAUAAAACGGAAUACUUCAUCUUCCACUCACAUCUGAGCUCUUACAACGGAUUAUCCGCAUGUUACCAACGUGGAGGAAACAUUCAAAUAGAAGGGGCGAUAUAUCAUAAUUAUAUAAAGGAAAGCAUGAUAAUAAUUAAG